rnacentral:rRNA from 1 species
UACGUAGGCAGCAAGCGUUUGUUCGGAGUUACUGGGCGUAAAGGGUGCGUAGGCGGUCCUAUAAGUAUGGUGUGAAAUCUCCCGGCUUAACUGGGAGGGUGCGCUAUAGACUGUGGGACUAGAGUGUGGGAGAGGAAAGUGGAAUUCCUGGUGUAGCGGUGAAAUGCGUAGAUAUCAGGAGGAACACCGGUGGUGUAAACGGCUUUCUGGACCAUAACUGACGCUGAGGCACGAAAGCGUGGGUAGCAAACAGG